rnacentral:lncRNA from 1 species
AAGACCCUGCUCCUGGGGAGGAAGAAGGACUUAUGAUUGUGAAGGUGGAAGACUGCUCCUGGGAACAGGAGCCUGCCCAACCAGUGAACAGCAGGGAGUCAGAAGCCUGCCGCCAGCGGUUCCGACAGUUCUGCUACAGGGAUGCGGGCGGACCACACGAAGCCUUCAGCCAGCUGUGGGAGCUCUGUUGCCGCUGGCUGCGGCCUGAGCUGAAUAGCAAGAGGUGGAGCCUAAGGCAGCAGUCCAGGAAUUCCAAGCCACAGCAUCUCCCAAGAAGGCAGGAGUGCAGAAGCAGCUAUGUGCAUCCCAAGAGCAGCACAGCCACGCCCAGCCCCCUGUUCUUAAAGAGAGACGGACAGGAGAGAUGUUGGAUGUCUGCUUUGCCUCUGAAGUUGAUCUACCUGGGAGACCUGAGCUGGGUCAUAUCUCCCCAUUUCAAAAAUCUGUGGCAUUGGGAGACAUCCCUUUCUAUUUUUCCCGAGAAGAAUGGAGCUCCCUGGGCCCUGCUCAGAGAAACCUCUUCUGGGAUAUCAAGAGAGAAAACUCCCGGGAUGCUGCCCUCGGUUUGGGACCCAAAAGCCAAAAGCCCCCUGCAGAGGAGACAGUGACAGCAUUGUUGGGACAGAACGAAGUGCCUAUGUCUUGGAAGCCUGAGGAGGCCAAGACCGAGGUCUGGGAGAGUGAGAACCCAAGGAGGACAGCCCCGGACAAGCCGGUGGUAGCACGUCGGGGGCGGCCG